rnacentral:lncRNA from 1 species
UCUGCCUCCCAAGUGCUGACAUUAAAGGCGUGCACCACCACGCCUGGCUGGGAAUCUUGUUCUUAUGUUUAGUCUCUGCCUUGGUUCCUGAGAUAGAGCCCCUAAUACCCUUGCUGAUGGUGGAACUGGGGUUGUGGGUAAGUCUAUAGUCUUUCUUGUUCUGGUAGUCUUUGAUGCUGGUUUCUGAUAUGUUUUGUGAGUCACAAAAUGUGACAUUUUGUUACAGUACAGUUCCCAAAUUUCUCAGAAUCUCCUGUAUGAGAACAUCUUUUGUUCCUAAUGGGUGACUAAAUAAGGCUCUUGGAUGACCUCAACCUGGAAGUUGGUUGCUUUGGAGUGAGCCAAGUUCAUCCCUUCUGUGUACAUAAUGAGGCUGAGGAGGGCAUGGGAGCUCUGCACCCGUUCCCUUUGGGAUCCCAUGUUUCUUUUCAACACUCCUCUACUCAUCUGUAUCCUUCACUGUGUCCCCUAUGAAUAAAUAUGUGAACAUAAAUAGUUUCCCUAAAUUCUUGGGCUGGUCAAGUCCACGGAGGAAGUUAUAGGGACCCCUGAUUUAUACAGUAGGUUGUACGUGUUAUCUAGCUACCUAGGUAUGGAAACUGGCUUCUGAGUCCUUCCGUCUGACUGUUAGGUUGAUGAUGGUGUCAGAAUCUGAUUCUCAUGUCUCCACCUCCUCUGGCUGGGGUUAGACACUUGAUGUCACACCUGACUUUUUAUGUGGGUGCUAACAGCGGUAGUUAAGCUGCUCAUGCUUGCUUACUAAGCUCUUUACUCAUGGAGACAUUUCCUAAGCCCUGUCUGCUUUCCAUUCUUAAUUUUUAUCUGUUUUCUCCAUAGUUUGCUAGAGAUUUAUUGGCACAAUUGGCAUCUGCCUGACACUAGCCUUUUUGCUUUUCCUGACCCCUGCCCUUGUGUUUAUUCUCACUUUCAUUGUUUUCUGACUUUAUUCCUUUUCUAUUUUCCUGUUUGGAGUUUACUUUGCUGGGUUCGUUUGUUUGUUUUUGUUUUCUGUAGUUAUAAGUUGGAUGUUUGGAUAGUUGGCUUAAGAACCUUUUGCCAAUGAAAUGUGAUCAGCCUCGCCUCCUGUUUGUCUCUUCCCAGUUGUGUGGUCAAGCGGCUGUUUUCAGUAUCAUUUUACUAAUCACUUCUGCAUGCACAGUAUGUAUGUGGAAAUACAGCUUUUCUUCUUGUAAAAGCUUAUUUUAUGUGUAUGGUGCUCUACUUGCAUGUGUAUCUGUGUACCGCAUGUGUGCACUGUCCUCAGAUUCCCUGGAACCGGAGCUGCAAACGGUUGUUAACUGCCGUGUGGAUGCUGGAAAUCAAAACCAGAUUCUCUAGGAGAACAGCCCUGCUCUUAAUCACCGAGCCAGCUGCCUCUUUCCUUCUUUCUCUCUCCUUUUGGUGCAUUCUGCUAGAUAGUACUGUCUUACUUUACCCUUCCUGUGCUUUGCUCCCACUCCUCCUUUAAUCCUCGGGACUAUGAGGCCAGUGUUCCCCUACUGAGGUAUAUCUCCAGCCCUUCUUUAUUUUUAUUUUGAGACAGAUUCUUGCUACAUUCAGGCUGGCAAUCUUACUUUCUCAAAGUCUUCUGUAUAGAUGAAGUUUUAGGUGUGUGUUACCAAGCCUGGCUUUGCUGUUUGCUUUGAAUAGCAUAUCUUGAACUUAUUUCUUUUAAAUGACCUUAACACUUCCCUCCACCUCAGUGAGUGCUGAGAUCACAGAGGUGUGCCACCCAGGACAGGAGUUUGUUCACACUAGGCAAACAUCUGACCUCCUGAGUGCACCCUCAGCCCUUGGCACUAGCUCCUCAUCUUUCGUAACUUUUUUCAUCCUCCUUUUUAGAUGCUAAUCCAGUCAGUCUUCUGUGCAUGGACAUUUGACAAUUUCUGGUCGUUUGCAGUUGGAGAUGAGCAGGAAGUGACAAUGAGUGCGCAUGCUUCAAGACAUUCUAAGGGGUUUGUUUUGUUUUUUUGGUUUUCUGAGACAAGGUUUCUCUGUGUAGCUCUGGGUAUCCUGGAACUCUGUAGAUCUGACUGGCUUAGAACUCAUAGAGAUCCACCUGCUUCAGCCUCCCAAAUGCUCUAUGCCCCCAAAGGCAUAUGCCACCACCACCCAACAAUUUUUAAAAUUAAUUUUUUAAUUGAAAAUAACAUUAUUUAUGCAGUAUAUUCUGAUCCCAGUUUCCCCUCCCUGUCUACUUCCACCUGUGCAGCUGCAAUUACAGGUAUGAAAUUGUGAUAAACUUGUCACUAGCAUAAUUUCAGACAUGUUUUCUCGCUCUUUAGAAACAAAUAGGCC